AUCUUUUUACUUUGAUUAGCUGCCUUCUAAUAGGACAUUUAAUCUUUGCAGGUCUGCAGGUAUCGUCUUAUUGAGGAUGAGUUUAAUAGUCCUUCCAUAUCAGAGUUGCAGAAGUAUUUAACUGAUGAGGAUUAUAGUGUUGCUGUGGGGUUCUAUAUUCUCCUAAGAGCUGUAGACCGGUUUGCUGCCAAUUACAAUAGCUUUCCAGGGGAAUUCGAUGGUGCAAUGGAUGAAGAUAUAUCUAGAUUAAAAACUACAGCUGUUAGUGUACUGAGUGAUUUGGGUUGCAAUGGUUCAACAUUGACAGAGGAUCUUAUUAAUGAGAUGUGUCGAUUUGGCGCUGCAGAGCUCCAUGCUGUUGCUGCCUUAAUUGGAGGAAUUGCAUCACAAGAAGUUAUUAAGCUCAUAACAAAACAGUUUGUUCCCAUGUCUGGAACUUUCAUCUUCAAUGGUAUUGAUCACAAGUCACAAUUGUUGAUUCUGUAAUACAUUUUGAAUCUGGAAUUGCCGCAUUGACGGAUUCCCUUUUGACGAGAUGAGAUGGAGUGGUCCAUCUUCUGCAAUUUUACAGCUUUUUAGGUCAUUUAUGACAUUUUACAGAUUGAGGCAUUCUUUGCUUUGUAGUUUGGGGUCGCGGGGAGUUUGAUAUGGUGU